rnacentral:lncRNA from 1 species
AAACACAAAAAGAUGUUCAACAUCAUUACACAUUAUGGAAUGGCACAUGGAAACCACAAGAUACCAUCACACAUACAUUAGAAUGGCUUUAAAAAAAAAAAACAGACAAUACCAAGUGCUGAUGAGCACGCAGAGCAACUGGCAUUUGCAUACAUUACUGAGGGAAAGCAAUGUGACACAGCCAUUUGAGAAAACAGUUUGGUUUUAUUAAAAAAUAAACCCACAUUUAACAUACAAUCCAGAAAUCCUACUUCCAGGUAUUCGUCCUACACAAAUAAAAACUUAUGUUCACACAAGAACCGGUACAUGAAUGUUUAUAGCAGCACAACUGCCAGACUUAGGAUUCAGCAGAAAAAAGCUGUUUUACCCAAAGUUACACCUCCUCCUGGGAGAAAGACUGUAUACAAUGACCAGCCAAUGUGGGAUACAAAGACCUGGUCUUCUUGCUUCAAUUGAGACAACUUUGCACGGCCACCCCAGCUUCAGGAUCAGUUGAAACGUCUGUUGUGACUGCAACACAGUUCAGCUUCUCCCAACUUUACCCAAUUCUGCUUCCCUCAUCCUACAUAGGUUUGUCUCCGGAGACCAUCCCACGAAAAACCUCCACAUGUAAAUCUCAGAAUCUCAGAGCCUGUUUCCUGGGGAACUCAAUCUGUGAUAUAGUAAAAUUAAGUUUACCUCUAGAGAGGGAGAGAGGAGAACGGGAUUUGGGGCAAAAUUAGGAGAAAGUUAAUAGGCUUAAUCCGGGUAUCUGUUAUUUUUUUCUUAUAUGUUUGAAAUAUUUUACAAUUUUUAUAAAUAUAUGCAUGUCUUCAGCAGACACUGUGAUACAUAUCAUGCUAAUUUAACAGAAACAGCUUUACCAGGUAUGUAGUAAUUUCUAGAAAAUUAAUAAUAUGUAAUAUAGGUAAUAAUCUGGCCCAAGGAAAAAACCUUGAAAUAUUGAAAUGUCAAGUGAAAUAGUCUACAUGUACUUAGUUUAUUUUUUUCUAAAGUUCACUUGUAAAAAAUAUUUUUAAAGUUUAGGAAAAAUCACUUAAUUCUGUAAAUAAAAACAAACAGAAUAAAAAAAUAUUUUCUAUUUUCACAAGACCAAAACGAUAGAGACUUUCUAACAUGACAGAGUUUCUUUUCAUUGGGUUUUUAUAGCAAUUUGAAAGAAUAAUGGUAUCAAAAACAAGUUUAUAUUGCAUUUUCCA